ensembl:snoRNA small nucleolar RNA SNORD41
CUGGAUGUGAUGAAGAACUUGAAAUUUGAGCUCUGCUGUGAUAGUUCAUAUAUUCGUACUGUCUGACCCAG